GUGGGGAAUCUUAGACAAUGGGCGCAAGCCUGAUCUAGCCAUGCCGCGUGAGCGAUGAAGGCCUUAGGGUUGUAAAGCUCUUUCAGUGGGGAAGAUAAUGACUGUACCCACAGAAGAAGCCCCGGCUAACUCCGUGCCAGCAGCCGCGGUAAUACGGAGGGGGCUAGCGUUGUUCGGAAUUACUGGGCGUAAAGCGCACGUAGGCGGACUGGAAAGUCAGGGGUGAACUCCCGGGGCUCAACCCCGGAACUGCCUUUGAAACUCCCAGUCUUGAGGUCGAGAGAGGUGAGUGGAAUUCCGAGUGUAGAGGUGAAAUUCGUAGAUAUUCGGAGGAACACCAGUGGCGAAGGCGGCUCACUGGCUCGAUACUGACGCUGAGGUGCGAAAGCGUGGGGAGCAAACAGGAUUAGAAACCCGUGUAGUCC
rnacentral:rRNA from 1 species